GGCUUGGUGGCAUAACGGUAACACACUCCGUGUUCCUAUAUGCAAUGUUCGUAUAGUUCGACGGAAAGUCCGGAGUUCGAUUCUUCGUCAAGCCA